AACCAUAGAAACCUGCGGAGUACCUGCGGAGGGAUCAUUACCGAGUUUACAACUCCCAAACCCCUGUGAACAUACCAAUUGUUGCCUCGGCGGAUCAGCCCGCUCCCGGUAAAACGGGACGGCCCGCCAGAGGACCCCUAAACUCUGUUUCUAUAUGUAACUUCUGAGUAAAACCAUAAAUAAAUCAAAACUUUCAACAAUGGAUCU
rnacentral:misc_RNA from 1 species